AGGAACUUGCCUGAAUGCCCAAGGACCACUUUGAUAGAGUGAUUUAUAGGGGUUAAAAUCCCCUCAGUUCCUA
rnacentral:tRNA from 1 species